GAUGAACGCUGGCUACAGGCUUAACACAUGCAAGUCGAGGGAGAGGUUACCUUCGGGUAACCAAGACCGGCGCACGGGUGCGUAACGCGUAUACAAUCUGCCUUUCACAUAGGGAUAGCCCGAAGAAAUUUGGAUUAAUACCUAAUGGUAUAUAGGAGCGGCAUCGUUUUUAUAUUAAAGCUACGGUGGUGAAAGAUGAGUAUGCGUUCUAUUAGCUAGUUGGAGAGGUAACGGCUCCCCAAGGCGACGAUAGAUAGGGGUUCUGAGAGGGAUGUCCCCCACACUGGUACUGAGAUACGGACCAGACUCCUACGGGAGGCAGCAGUGAGGAAUAUUGGACAAUGGUCGGAAGACUGAUCCAGCCAUGCCGCGUGCAGGAUGAAGGUCCUAUGGAUUGUAAACUGCUUUUGUAAGGGAAGAAUAAGGAGUACGUGUACUUUGAUGACGGUACCUUACGAAUAAGCAUCGGCUAACUCCGUGCCAGCAGCCGCGGUAAUACGGAGGAUGCGAGCGUUAUCCGGAAUCAUUGGGUUUAAAGGGUCCGUAGGCGGGCUGAUAAGUCAGAGGUGAAAGCGCUUAGCUCAACUAAGCAACUGCCUUUGAAACUGUCAGUCUUGAAUGAUUGUGAAGUAGUUGGAAUGUGUAGUGUAGCGGUGAAAUGCUUAGAUAUUACACAGAACACCGAUAGCGAAGGCAUAUUACUAACAAUUUAUUGACGCUGAUGGACGAAAGCGUGGGGAGCGAACAGG
rnacentral:rRNA from 1 species